AGAGGUUCCAGCACCCAACUCGUGCCCGAGGGACUUGCCUGGGAUGUUCUCUGCGCUCCUCCCCUACCCGCUGCCCGGGCAGUCCUUGCGGGGCUACUACCCCAGCGCUAGAACCGUGGAGAAGUUUCGCCGCUGCAAACGUGAGAAAAAGCAGCUCUGCAGGACACCGCCCCCACACGCCCCACCCCACAGCCCGACCCCUGGCGGUGGCGACCUCGGUCACCCUGAAGGCGCCAGUGCACGGGAGGAGGGGCUGCCUUUGGGCCUUUCCUGGGAGCUAGGGAGGUCGCCAGGAUAGGGCCACCUCCGGUCGCCGUCCACCACCCGGACUGGCGCCACCAAGCCCUCGCACCCGACUCCCCUCGGCCAGCCGCCCUUGCGCCGCGCGCCUCUCCACCCGGACUCACCGCUCUGUGCGCAGCAAGGGUCGCAUCGGGUCCCAGGGCUCUUGCGCCUCGGGGCUGCGGCUCCCCGCCGGUCCUGCCGCGCUCUUCUCCCCCCACCCGCCGCCGUCCUCCACGGCCCUGUCUCUCGACUCUUUUUUCCGGGUUAAUUACGUUUCGCAUUAAAGCAAAACCCAGCCCCGGAUGUGCAGGGAGGAGUUGAGCCGGAGACAGGGAGCUACAGAGUCCCACAGUGCUGAGCAAAGGCUUCAGAAGUUUCUGCUUCAGGCUUCUGGAGCCCGAGGGUUCCUGAACCAGGAAAGACACAAUCAGAAAGAAACAGGCAACAGUCCGAAUAGCUGGUGAUCAUGUAACAGGCAGCGUCAACCUGCAAGGGUGUGACUCCCUGUCAUCAACUAACUGAACAGCCAAGGAUCCCAUGACUUACCUUUUCUGUGUCUCUACCGCAAGCAGCCUCGUGCUUUAGGGGUAGGUACUAAGUGCCUAGGUUGUCAGGGGCUGCUCCUGCAGCUCAGCAGCAAAGCACUUACCCAGCUUGCUCCAGUCCCCAAGUUCCAUCCUCUGGGCCCCACAAAAAUAAAUAAAAAUCGAUUUUG